rnacentral:rRNA from 1 species
UACGAAGGGGGCUAGCGUUGCUCGGAAUCACUGGGCGUAAAGCGUGCGCAGGCGGUUUUGUAAGCCAGAUGUGAAAUCCCCGGGCUUAACCUGGGAAUGGCAUUUGGGACUGCAAGGCUGGAGUUUGGCAGAGGAGACUGGAAUUCCUGGUGUAGCAGUGAAAUGCGUAGAUAUCAGGAGGAACACCGGUGGCGAAGGCGGGAUCCUGGGCCAGUACUGACGCUGAGGAGCGAAAGCGUGGGGAGCAAACAGG